GAUGAAUAACGUAGUGAAAUGCGAUAACUAUUGUGAAUUGCAGAAUUCAGUGAAUCAUCGAGUCUUUGAACGCACAUUGCGCCCCCUGGUAUUCCGGGGGGCAUGCCUGUCCGAGCGUCAUUGCUGCCCUCAAGCACGGCUUGUGUGUUGGGCUCCGUCCCCCCGGGGACGGGCCCGAAAGGCAGCGGCGGCACCGAGUCCGGUCCUCGAGCGUAUGGGGCUUUGUCACCCGCUCUGUAGGCCCGGCCGGCGCCAGCCGACAACCCAUCAUCCUUUUCAGGUUGACCUCGGAUCAGGUAGGGAUACCCGCUGAACUUAAGCAUAUCAAUAAGCGGAGGA
rnacentral:misc_RNA from 1 species